AAUUAAGUAGAAUGCUACACAAAAUGCGAGCCUUUUAUUUCUUACUAAUAAUAAUGAGGGGUGAGCUUAAAAUAAAGUUAUUUUGCGCGUAGAGCCUAAGGUACAAGUUUCGGUUAAACUGUACACUUUGUAUUCACGCUCUGAUACUGUUACACAAUCACAUGGAAUUGAAAUCUGUAGGUCAAUUUGGAAUAGGUUGCUAGAUAGAAAUACUCACACAGGCAGGUUCGUG